rnacentral:lncRNA from 1 species
GAAGCAAAAUGCAGGUCACCUGGAAACCCUGACUUUAACCUUAGAAUAUCUUCAUUUGACCUCCUGUCACAAACCAACCAAGGCUCUGAAAUGAUCCACUUUAUAUCCUCACAGAUAAUAAUCCUGCCUCCCUGUAACUUUUAUCCAAAGUAGUUAUGCUGUAAAAAUGUGAUGACUGCCUCUGCAGCGCUCACCUGCUUCUAUAAUGGGAUAAUUGCAGUUAAAGGCAUGAAGGCUGGUGAGGAGCAGAACCUGCUCCCUCCUCUCUGGGGUAAGUCAUCAGGGCAAUAAGAGGAGCUGUCUCCAGGCAGUAUAUUCAGUAACAUUAAUACCUGCUCCACUCCUUGCAUCACAUCUGGAUGGCUGACAGGACAUAACAAAGGACAGGAAGGAUUGCAUUUCUGUCUCCACUCCACUGGUCAGGAGCUGGAUGCUGUAGAGUGUAUCAGGGAAGGUCUGGAUCCACAUGACUCGUGGAUAGGGGAGCAAUGCUGCCCCUGCCAUCCCUGUAGGGCUCCUCAGCCUGUGCAGAAAACCUCGCUCCUAAAGCAGACCUGGGCUGAGGGGCCACCACAGCCUGUGGUGAUGCUGCCGUGGUCCCCACCUGGCACAGGGGAGUGAGUCUGCAGCAGCACAUCAGGAGUGCUGAAAUCAAUAUUCCAGAGCACCUGCAGCAGCAUCAGUGUCCUUUCUCCCUCCUUACAGGGGGACUGAGGUGGGUAGGCAAAACAGCCACACAGCUUCCAGCUCUGUCCUGGUCCUUCCUCCUGGGUUCCCAGCCUGGGAUCCUGCUCUCUCACACUGAGCUUCAAAAGCUCAGUGUAACAUGCAGAUGGAGCUAUUUGAGGUCUUUAAGAAAUGGUAUCUUAGAUGACUAAUUAUUGUGAGCUGACUAAUAGCUAAUGCUUCUGGGCACAGCUGUACCUACAAUAGCCAAACAUCUUCAUAUUUGCUAAAAAUGAGGAGGAAGAAAAAGAUAAAUUUUGCCUAAGCUGGAACUUUUUCCAGGUCAAGUCUCUUCUUAUUUAACUGUUAAUCUUGAAGUAUUACAUAAAGUUUGGGGCUGUGAAAAACUCCUGUAAAGUCAGAUCUGAGUUAAUUAAAAGGAAACCUUUUCUCUCUGGAGGUUUUGUGUCGAUCUGGAAAGCACAGGGCCAUCCCAUGGGAUCUUCCCAAGGAGACAUCUCCCACACCUGCUGCUGUGUGUGCAGGGCUUUGGGUCUCUCUUUGGGGGAGGAUGAAAUGACCUCCCUCUGAAAUGUCCACAAAACCCCAGCAGGCUCUGCUGAAACAGAAGGUAAGAAUCUUUAAACAAAUCACAUGAUUUUGUACUGACAUCAGGCCUCUACAAAGAAAUUUAAAGUUGAUGCUCA